AUGUUCUGGCUUCUUUUCAGUGCCGAAUAAAUCUUUCGCCUUUUAUUAAAGACUUCCGUGGAGAGGAGCAAUCUAAUGAAUCUAAACUAGUUUUUUGGACCUGAAAAAUUGGUGAUCGU